ensembl:lncRNA
GAGGAGGCCACGUGACCGGGGAGACAGCGACAGGGGAGGCGUGUCAGGAGCGCGUGCUGCCGCCACCAGACGCGUAGAGAGCAGGGACGGCUUCCCCUGGAGCUGCCGCGGGGCAGGGUCCUGGGACCCCGGGACUUCAGACUCAGAGCUGUGACAGGAGACAUGUCUGCCGUUUGAAGCUACCAAGUGUGCAGCAAUGUGUGAUGGCACCAGGAAGACACUAACAGAGUAACUUUUUGUAUAUUUAAAUGUCUUACCCACAGAUCUGCCACUUUCAAAAGACUCUCCUUGAAGAUGGCUGAAUCAUCUCUUCCACUCUCAUAGCUCAGCUUGGACCUAAUGCAGGAAGGAAAAAAGUAAAAGAGCAAAGAGAGGGAGACAAUGAGUCCUUGGAAAGCUUCUUGCUGCAUGAACAGGGGUGUGGAGUUGAAACAGUCACGCCCUGCAGACAGCCUCAUUUCCAAUUCCAGUUCGACAGCUCAUGCAAGGUGGUGCCAGGAAGCUCUCUCGACUGUCCUGUGCUCUUAUUUAAUUGGCAUUUCCUCAGACUCCAGAGCAAUCAUUUUUAUCACUCAGAGCACUGUCAGGAUGAAAUCUGUCCUGAAGCAUGUCUCCAAAGUUGUCACCGUGCUCAACUAAUUAGUCAAACGUUUCCAUCUGCCUCGCGGCUCACC